AUCGCUUCUCUGUCUUUAUUGCUAAGAUCAAGUGUAGCAUCUGCUCUUAUCAGUUUAAAGGGGUACUCCUGUGGGGGAAAAAAUUCUUUAAAUUAACUGGUGCCAGAAAGAUAAACAGAUUUGUAAAUGACUUAUACAGUACUUAUCAGCUGUUGUAUGCUCCACAGGAAGUUGUAUUUCUUUCUGGAGUUCUUUUC